rnacentral:lncRNA from 1 species
CGCGCGGCGGCCGGUCACGUUUCUGCCCGUAUGAAGCCCGAGCCGGGAGGCGCGGGGCCGGCGGGACGCGCCGUGCGCGGAAUAUAUUGAUGACACUUUGAGAUUGGAAAGACCAUGAUUACUACAUUCAUUGAGGUGUGACUUCAGUUGUCUGCAGAAAGUGAAGCUGGGUCAGCUUGGUUUGCCUCCCAUAUCACAGGUGUGUUCCUACAGCAGGGUUUUCACUCCUUUCUAGUAUCUGAAGUCU